GGGUCUUGUGUGGUUUAUACUGGCUUGUGAAACUGUACAUUUAUGUACAGUAUGACGCAGCUACAUUUUCCAUAUAAAAAAAUGACACGGCAUAAUCCCCAUGCUGAAUCACACUUGCGUGCUUGCUGUUCUAUUUCAGGUCACAGACCGAGUUUACUGGAAAACGUCAAUAUUCAGGACACACUAGGUCUGGUGUUCUUUUUGCACAGUUAUCAGAAUUCCUGUCACAAAGAUUUUUGAUAUCCUACACAGGGUUUAGAAUGGCAUAUUACCUAACAUAACUGUUCAACAGACCAUAUACAUAUACUUUAUAUCACAGAGCAACUGUUUCUGAUUAAACAGUCCACCUAUUCCAGACAGCUAUUCUGCCAUUGAUUUUAUCCGUACUUUGUCCCUGAGUCAGGGAGAUGUGUGAAACUGAGUGUGAACCUGAUAGUCCCCACACCUCCUGUUGCAGCCCUGUUGACAGAGACAACAAAGAUCUCAGCUGUCCCCAGACAAAUAUUUUGCUUUUGCCUAUUCAUAAUAAAAGAUUAGCAUGUUGCCGUGGUUACGGUGAUCACUGAACCGCAUUUGUCAAUAGACUUAAAACAUCUAGGGUUUCUAGUCUUUCUCAUACGUCGUCGGUGAAAUGUAGGCAAUGGGGUCUAACGGUGCUCACGGCCUCUUUACCAGCUCAUGUUCUUUGGUCCGCCACUGAAUUAAGUAAUUAAUUAAAUAAUUAAGUCCUGGAUUUCAGUAAGGCUGUGGGUAGAAUGACAAUUCCUCUGCUUAGCUGAGAAGGCUUGCUUUUGUUUAAUCAGUUUAAUUCUCGAUAGUUCACUGUUAAUGACAACAUAAUGCACUUAUGAAAAAAACAGUAACAUACAUCAAAAUACAUGUACAUACAUGUCAAAAAAUGGUCUCAAUGUAUGCUGUCUUGUCCCAGUUCUCUUAUUGGGUAGCCUUGGUUUCCAUGCCAACAGAGCUUUGGUACAGAGCCUAGACACAGGCAGUGAGUGCUUGAUGUAUCACACUGGGUCCUGUCCUCUGCUAUUUUCUCACAUUUGCUCCAGUUAACAUGUGUGUAUUGCGUUGCCCCAUCAUGUCGCACUCAAACUGCUUUUGUAAGUGUACGUUAGGCCAGAAGGCAUUGCUGUAGUCCUUCCCUGGGUUGCACAUGUCCCAGGUGAGUGGUGAGUAUUUCAAGAACAUUCCAAGGUCAUUGAGUUAAACUAUUUGAAUCAGGAAGUGAAGUGUACACUUGCAUUUAUAGGCUCUCUGUGUCUUCCGAAAUAACAGUCAAGAGGAGAUAAGGUGAAUGCAAGACAAAGAAAGGAUGUUAAAUGAAGAACAAAGCAGAUAAAGGGGUGUGCAAUCAGAGUGGGGAGGACUGGAGGAACUACACUCCUGAGAGAAGAGCUCAACAGAGCAGAGCUUAGCAGCACAUAGCUUAAUUUCAUCAACACCAAACUACUUAAUAAAGAGUUCUCUAUUUUGUUGGUCAAAUUUUGGGUAGCCUUGAAUAGCCAUGCAUCAUGGCUGCCACUGUUGCUUCUGAGGACAAAUUGAAAUCAUCCUGUCAAAAUGCUGGUGGUUACAAUUCCAACAGACGGCAAUCUAUCUUAUGUUAGAAUUGGGAAAGAAGUGAAUAUCCCCAGAUGGCAAGCAUAUAUCGGCCCACCGGUGGAUUUUAGUUAGCACCACACUGGUAGUGUUCCAAAUCUGCUCCACUCUCUGACCAUCAUCAUCUUUACGCUUUACUCUCUUUACUCUAUACAAUUCACCCACAACUCAGUUGCCAAUUUAGGGAAGGAGCACACCUAACACCAAGGGAUGCACACAUGCUUCAAAGAUUCUACUGUGAUUAAGGUUGUCGCUGCCCGAUCCACACUGGCUACCUAAUCCGUACCAGCUGCCGAUCCGUUCUGCACACACAUAGGCACUCGGAAUCACAACUUAUUCCUUCCUGAUUUACCAUGCAUGUGUAAACAUUGUAUGCUGUUGAAACCAUGCAUUGCGAGUUGUAAGUAUUUUGACAUCGGUCUGAUUGUAUGGCGUGGCCGAUAUCAACCAACGACUGAGUACGACUGUACUUGCUUUGUUAAUAGUGAUUGUGAAAAGAUGUUUUACUAAAAUUAGGUUGUCAUCAAUACAGAAAUAAAAAUAAUAUGAUGACCCAAGGCUGCUGGGAGGAUCAUUUCAUACACUGCCAUUUAGGCCAGACGGUUAUUCUUCCACUCUGGUUUAGGCUACCUGCCUUUCCCUGUAAAUAAGAUCCCACAAAUGUGGGACGGAUUUGGCAGUGCGCAUGUGCCGAAUCUUGUGCAUGUGCACUUGUGCAGAGCGGAUCGGGCAUCCGGUAGAGAUUGGGCAAACGUAGUGAGUUACUGUACAAUUAUUUAGGGUGACUGUUCCAGUGGGAGGGAUGUGAUCACCUUGAAGUUCCAAUGCCGAGGUGGGUGUGUAAACAUGCCAACUGAAUCAACCCGUAUGAACAAAUAAUAACUAUUACAAGGUGUUGGUGUUUUCCCAUCACAAGCAAGUCCGGGGCUAUUAUGCUGGCAAGUUGUAAGACCUUUCUUUUAAGGUCAUAGGCUUUCAUAUCUUUGCCGAACAUUUUUCAGAUUUCUGCCUUAUCAGUGACCAGCCAGAUUGCAUAAACACAGGAAAUCUUGUUGGAAAUAAAGGGAAAUGUAAUUAUCCCAUAUGUUUAUGCUGUACUAUAGUGUCCUGUUUAUACCUGAAGAUCACAAGCAAUAUGAUCAAAGCUGAUCAUAAACAAGAUAAUGGCCACUGAUGAGGGAGAAUGAUGUAACAAAGGAAACAUGAACGUAGAUGUUAUAAUAUGAGACUAGAAAGACCAAGCGGCAUUGGCAGCUUAUUAAUACACAUGAAAAGCUAGGAAUCUGUAGAUUAUAAACAUGCAUAAAUAGAAGCACCAAUGCAUGCACUUACUUCAGAUCUCAUAAUAUUGUGUUUGCAAUUACUUCAGAUCUCUCAAUGUUGUAUUUGUAUUUGUAUUUGUAUAUGUAUAGAAGCUCAUUGUGUCUCAUUAAAAUUUGAUCAGCCUCCUGUACUCCUGAGAGUCAGCUGGGGAGACAUUAGACAAUGCUGAGAAAUACUAAACUGAUACAUUUCUGAGGUCUUAUUGUUUACAAUGGUCAUUCGGUUUUCUGUAACUUACAUGAAUCUUGUUAAUCCUAGUCAGAGAGGUGUGCUCUAGAUACGUCCGCUACGGCUGCAAGAGUCUUUAAUGAGCAGCAUAUGUGCUAAUGCUGUGGAUUUAGCUAAGAUGCUUAAAGUGAUGUGUUCUAUAUUAGGAUAAUGAGAUCUGCUUUCAAAAGGACAGACCUCGAGACACCACCUUGACCCACAACUGCAUGGAUGUGUUUUACUCAAUCAGCACUUCGACACAAUGGCUUUUGUUGUCUUAAUAAUGGACAAGGAGAAGGACUGCAAUGGAUUUAUUUCCUCAUUGACUCAAGUCAUGCAUUAGUAAGCUUGUCUGAAAGCACAAUGGCCUGACGAUUAACACAAUUAAGGGCAUUCUCAAUAUUUGCUAAAUGAAGACCUUUGUUCUCUGAUAAGCCUCUUUUUGAAGGUGCUGGUCGGCAUGUUUCUGAAAAGGAUGUGUGCUUUAUAUAAUCCAUGAAAAGGAGGUGUGCUUUAUAUAAUCCAUGAUGUUCUGCCCAUGCUUCUUAUUGGACCCCACAAACAUUAUAAGGACAGCAUUUCAGUCCUUUAGGAAAUGGCUUUCCACUUCUCUGCCACUGCUAAUACCACUUUGACCUUAAAAAAUCUCUGGCGCCACAGAUACAGCAUGUCAAAGGUAGUCAUUCGACAUGCUUGCCUAUCUGACCAGUUUAGACGCCUUUUCGGGUCCUACGUUCAUGAUAAUUGACUUACUAACUUAAUUAACUAAUUAACCUGCACAUCGUGAACAGAGCUUCCUUGUUGCCCAGCACUACUAUAAUCCAAUAUAAGACUA
ensembl:lncRNA